rnacentral:pre_miRNA from 1 species
UUAUGACGAUGGAGGUGAUGAUGAUGAUGAUGAUGAUGAUGAUGAUAUAUCGUCACCAUGGUUUAUAAUAUAACCAUGGUGAUUAUACACCAACAUCUUCGUCAUCAUCAUCAUCAUCAUUAUCAUCAACU